CCAAGUCUGAGCCCCCAAGUUUCUGAAAUGAAAGAAGGAAAUUAUUCAAUAAAUUCAAAAGAACAUACCCAAAUUGUGACUUAUUCAUGAUACUUUUACAUUGUAAACAGCCCAUUCUGGUGCUUCCUGGGCUCUGAGAAUAAACAAUUCCCCAAUAAUUUAGGUUGCAACUGAAAUUCUGUCCUCUACAAGAAACCUUUCCUCUGAGAUUAUCUUCAAUAUAUCCUGUCAAUAUCUUGCUCGAACAUAGUUGUUUGCAUGUUGUCUUCCCCAUUAGACUGUGAGCUCCUUGAGGGCAGGGGCUAUUAUUUUCUUUUGUUUUUCUUUUGGUUGGCUUUUUGACUUUUCUUUCUAUCCUCAGCAUCCAGCAGAGGGCUAGGCACAUAGUAAAGACUUUAAAAGGUUAUUUCAUUCAUUCAUUUACUUAAAAGAACAAACAAAACCAAAUCCUUACCUUCUGUCUCAGAAUCAAUACUAAGUAUUAGUUCCUAGGCAGAAAAAGUGAUAAGGGCUAGGCAAUGAGGGUUAAGUGACUUGUCCAGGGUCAUACAACUGGGAAGUAUCUGAGGUCAUAUCUGAAGCCAGGGCCACCCAUUUCCAGACCUGGCCCUCUAUCCCCUGAGCCACCCAGCUGUCCCUAUUCAUUCACCUUUGAAAUCCACGGUCACUGGAUGUUUAUCAUCAUUACACUCAUGAAAAGAUUCCCUUUCCUAAAAAUUUGAAACCUUUAAGGAGAAAGAUGAAAGGAUAAAGAGGGAUGAAAUGAUUCUAGCCAUGCUAAAAUUGGGAUCCAAUCACCAGGGAUGUUACAAAUGGCAUAGACUCCAGAUAAAUUCUGGACCCUCAAGUCUACAAAUUGUUGCAAUCAAUUUAAAAAUAAGAGAUGAGGCAAUUUUAAAAAGAUAGAAAUGAUCCUUAUUUGCAUAAUGGAAAUGAAAUUCAAAACAUUAGUAGAUUAGUAAUAAUUUGCCUAAAAUAAUGGCAUGACUUGUGGAUGAUUCCAAGCCAUGAAUGUUUUGGCCAUAAUGCUUCUUUCAAGGUCCCAUUGCACUUGACUGUCAGUGGUAAGCCAUUGGUUGGCAUUUAAAGUACUUGACAAUCUGGCUCCAACCUACUUCCCAAAGCUUACUUCACAUUUUGAGCCCACCUGUUAUUCCAUUUGAUGACCCUGAAUCCUGAUGCUUUUGUAUAAAUUAUUCCCCAUGCCUGGAACGCUCUCCUCCUCCCCUCCAUGCUCCAUUCAGUGCUCCACUCAUGUUCCACCUCUUUCAUGGAGUCCUUUCUAAUCUGGGAAAUAAUGUGUUCUCCCUUUGCCAAAUUAUAUUGGCUCCCCCUCUACAGGCAUCGAAUGUAAGUUCCUUGAGGGCAGGAAAUGGUUUCAUUUUUGUCACAGUAUCUCCAGGGUCCAGAGCGAUGCUAGGCACUUGGAAGGAAUCAAUUCAUCAAAGAGGGAAUGGUAGGCAAGGAGCCACACUCUCUUUCUUAACUAAAGAUAUAGUCUCCCUUCCUUGACCUCACUCUUUCCUUCAAAAAGCUAUUUUAUCGAAGAGACCACAAACGUCUCGUCUCCUCUCUCACCUCCUAGUCUAAGCUCUGGGGAUGCUUCCUAAAUGGGAAACAGAAGUCAGGCAGGAAAUUCUUGGUUCACCCUGAAACUGGAGGCAGACAACAAGGGAAGUCAUCAAACAAAAACAAAUAGACAUCCAGGAAUCUGGUACUUUCUGGGGAAAGAGAGAGAAGGGAAAAGUGGGACAAGAAACAGUAAGGGUCAUCAUCUCUCCAGCAGGAGUGUGACUUCAGAUCAGUGGAAUUAUCUCCCAGAAAAGUGGCCCUCAGGAGCCAGGAUUGGGCUUUCUGCCUCAAAACAGAGAAGUGAGAAGAGACAAUUGGAGCUAGGUAUAGGAGAACUUCAGAGGAGGAGAGAGCUAGAGAAGCAUGGACAACGAGACCAAUCUGGGAAGAGAAGGGACAACAAUGAUGGAGUUUUGGAUUUGACUGACUUUAUUCCACUUGAUGCUCAGGAGGACUGAGAUGGGAAAUCAAUCAAUGAGAAUUUAUCUUGAGCCUACUAUGGCCCAUGUACUGUGAAAGGCACUGGAGAAACAAAAACAAAAGGGAAACAUUUCCAAGAAAAUAUGCAUACAGGAUCAAAGGAUUCUAGUAUGAUGGAAGGCACGGACCUGAAAUCCCAUCUAGUCUCCCCUUCAUCUUAUACCUGAGUAAACUGAACUCUGGAGAAGCUAAUAGAAGGCCUGGAAUUUUAGAAUUCCUUGAAGGACCAAGCUACAUCAAUGGACACAUUGGAGAUAUUAUGAUGAAAAAUUCUAUUUCAAAGUAAAAUUAUAUCUGUGUGUAAUUAUUUGUGCCUAAAAGACCUUUGGACAGAUGGGAUAAAUUAUUUUUAAAAAUUGGCAACAAUUUUCACGUCUGGUCCUUUUAUUAAUUGAAUUGCCUAAGGUCAUAUUGGAGGCAGGAUUUGAACCCAGGUCUUCUGCCUCCUGAGUCAGUGCUUCUUCAAUAUGUUCUGGGAAUAUACACACAAAAGUGAGACCAUACCAAGCCUCAAGGAGAUGACUUUCUACUAGGGAGCUUCAACAUGUCAAGAGACAAGAAGAAAUAAGAUGUAGGAAUGGAGGAUAGAGAUUGGACCUGUGAUUUCACUGGCAUAGGGAAUUCCUAGGUGAGUAAAUGCUCUACUAAUGCAGAUUUCUUUGUCACUUAUAUUCUUAGAAAAUUGCCUAGAGUACAGAGAAGCUAAAUAACUUGCCUAAGGUCACAUAACCAGUAUGGGGAAGAGGUAAGACUUGAAUCCAAGUCUUACUGACUCUAAAACCCACUGCUUCCCAUACAAGAUAUACCCAAAAUAAACAGAAAGUGAUUUGGGCACUAACACCUGGAUGAUCAGGAGAGGUUCCUUUCACCUUCAAAUCUGUGAUCCAGUGAUCACAUACAUUGUACUUUACUUAAAGAAAGAUGAGGAUAACACAGAGAAUUCUGCAUAUAGAAAUUUUGGUUCUUAAAGGGUCUCUGGAAUUAGCCAUUCUAUUGAUCAAUGGAUAAAUUCUCUCAACAUAGCCAGAAGAGGAAGAAAAGCACCUCUGUUUAUAAGGCUUGUGUAGAAGUUUUCAGAGGUACCCAGUAAACCAAUAACUGUUAGCAAAAUAUUAAGUCUGGCCCUUCUUCCUCUUAUUACCUCUUUCCCAACUCCUCCCUAUUCCUACCUCCCCAGGGAGUCAUCUCCCUUAAACUGGUUCCUGACCAUCCUAAGCUCCAACUAGCCCUGCCCACUCUUUUCUGGAGCCAAAA